rnacentral:tRNA from 1 species
AUGCCAUGGUAAGGCAUAAGUCAUCGGUUCAAAUCCGAUAAAGGGCU